CAAGAAAGCAUCAGCUGCAUCUCCUCCUACUUCAAUCUCUAACCAAGAUAGACAGCCUCACACCCAAAAGUAGAAGAGGGAACCGCCUUCUUCAUCUUCAAUAGCUGCAUAUCCCAAACCCAAAUAUUUCCAGCAAUAACCAUCCAAACCUUCACUGUUACAGCCAUUUAGACCAGCCCCAAACAACACUGUUUCAGCCAUUUAAAGCAGCCGCAAACAGCCAUGAGAAUUCGCCAAAAUUCCAGCAAAACAACAAACCCUUUUUAACAAAAACCAGCAACGAACUACUCUUGAAAACCAGUCUGAAAAUAGCUUCAUCUCCUCACCCUACUGCCGUCUUCAACCAAACAUGAAUACCAGCCCUUGACCACUCUUAAACCACCAGAAAAUACUUCAAAACAACUCCCCUUUUUACGUAACACAACUACAUUUUCAUCGAGUCAACGUUCGAGGUCGCCGGUGAGAGAUUCAAUCCGAGUUUUGGUUGU
rnacentral:lncRNA from 1 species